rnacentral:rRNA from 1 species
GCUACACAUGCAGUCGAGCGGUAGAGAGAAGCUUGCUUCUCUUGAGAGCGGCGGACGGGUGAGUAAUGCCUAGGAAUCUGCCUGGUAGUGGGGGAUAACGUUCGGAAACGGACGCUAAUACCGCAUACGUCCUACGGGAGAAAGCAGGGGACCUUCGGGCCUUGCGCUAUCAGAUGAGCCUAGGUCGGAUUAGCUAGUUGGUGAGGUAAUGGCUCACCAAGGCGACGAUCCGUAACUGGUCUGAGAGGAUGAUCAGUCACACUGGAACUGAGACACGGUCCAGACUCCUACGGGAGGCAGCAGUGGGGAAUAUUGGACAAUGGGCGAAAGCCUGAUCCAGCCAUGCCGCGUGUGUGAAGAAGGUCUUCGGAUUGUAAAGCACUUUAAGUUGGGAGGAAGGGUUGUAGAUUAAUACUCUGCAAUUUUGACGUUACCGACAGAAUAAGCACCGGCUAACUCUGUGCCAGCAGCCGCGGUAAUACAGAGGGUGCAAGCGUUAAUCGGAAUUACUGGGCGUAAAGCGCGCGUAGGUGGUUUGUUAAGUUGGAUGUGAAAUCCCCGGGCUCAACCUGGGAACUGCAUUCAAAACUGACUGACUAGAGUAUGGUAGAGGGUGGUGGAAUUUCCUGUGUAGCGGUGAAAUGCGUAGAUAUAGGAAGGAACACCAGUGGCGAAGGCGACCACCUGGACUAAUACUGACACUGAGGUGCGAAAGCGUGGGGAGCAGACAGGAUUAGAUACCCUGGUAGUCCACGCCGUAAACGAUGUCAACUAGCCGUUGGAAGCCUUGAGCUUUUAGUGGCGCAGCUAACGCAUUAAGUUGACCGCCUGGAGAGUACGGCCGCAAGGUUAAGACUCAGAUGAAUUGACGGGGGCCCGCACAAGCGGUGGAGCAUGUGGUUUAAUUCGAAGCAACGCGAAGAACCUUACCAGGCCUUGACAUCCAAUGAACUUUCUAGAGAUAGAUUGGUGCCUUCGGGAACAUUGAGACAGGUGCUGCAUGGCUGUCGUCAGCUCGUGUCGUGAGAUGUUGGGUUAAGUCCCGUAACGAGCGCAACCCUUGUCCUUAGUUACCAGCACGUAAUGGUGGGCACUCUAAGGAGACUGCCGGUGACAAACCGGAAGAAGGUGGGGAUGACGUCAAGUCAUCAUGGCCCUUACGGCCUGGGCUACACACGUGCUACAAUGGUCGGUACAGAGGGUUGCCAAGCCGCGAGGUGGAGCUAAUCCCAUAAAACCGAUCGUAGUCCGGAUCGCAGUCUGCAACUCGACUGCGUGAAGUCGGAAUCU